rnacentral:ribozyme from 1 species
AAAAAAGAAAGAAAGAAAGAAAGUAGUUACAGUAUAUAUGUCUCUUUAUUUUAUUUAUUUUAUUUUGAUUUUAUUUGUAUUUAUAUUUAUAUUUAUAUGUUGGUGCUCGUGGCACUUAUUUAUCUAUAUACUGUAAGU